rnacentral:misc_RNA from 1 species
AACGCAAAUUGCGCCGACUUGUCGGCAUGCCUGUCUGAGUGUCAUCAAACCCAAGCUCGACCCCGCUUUCGUGGCGGGGGGGGGCGGGGGGGGUCCGUUCUCUUUUUGCUGCGCCGCGAGGCUGUUUCGCCUGGACAUGUCGGAGCGAGCCCAAUCUUUUUACAUCUUCAAACCAUGACCUCAGAUCAGACAAGACUACCCGCUGAAUUUAA